rnacentral:rRNA from 1 species
AUACGUAGGGGGCGAGCGUUGUCCGGAAUGAUUGGGCGUAAAGGGCGCGUAGGCGGCCCGGUAAGUCUGGAGUGAAAGUCCUGUUUUUAAGAUGGGAAUUGCUUUGGAUACUGUCGGGCUUGAGUGCAGGAGAGGUAAGUGGAAUUCCCAGGGUAGCGGGGAAAUGCGUAGAGAUUGGGAGGAACACCAGUGGCGAAGGCGACUUACUGGACUGUAACUGACGCUGAGGCGCGAAAGUGUGGGGAGCAAACAGGAUUAGAUACCCUGGUAGUCCACACUGUAAACGAUGAAUGCUAGGUGUAGGGGGUAUCGACCCCUUCUGUGCCGCAGUCAACACAAUAAGCAUUCCGCCUGGGGAGUACGGCCGCAAGGUUGAAACUCAAAGGAAUUGACGGGG